GGUGAUAUAGCUCAGUUGGUUAGAGCGGUUCACUCAUAAUGAACAGGUCGUUGGUUCAAGUCCAACUAUCACCA
rnacentral:tRNA from 1 species